rnacentral:rRNA from 1 species
AGUGAACGCUGGCGGUGGGCCUAACACAUGCAAGUCGAACGGCAGCACAGUAAGAGCUUGCUCUUACGGGUGGCGAGUGGCGGACGGGUGAGGAAUACAUCGGAAUCUACUUUUUCGUGGGGGAUAACGUAGGGAAACUUACGCUAAUACCGCAUACGACCUACGGGUGAAAGCAGGGGAUCUUCGGACCUUGCGCGAUUGAAUGAGCCGAUGUCGGAUUAGCUAGUUGGCGGGGUAAAGGCCCACCAAGGCGACGAUCCGUAGCUGGUCUGAGAGGAUGAUCAGCCACACUGGAACUGAGACACGGUCCAGACUCCUACGGGAGGCAGCAGUGGGGAAUAUUGGACAAUGGGCGCAAGCCUGAUCCAGCCAUACCGCGUGGGUGAAGAAGGCCUUCGGGUUGUAAAGCCCUUUUGUUGGGAAAGAAAAGCAGCAGGUUAAUACCCCGCUGUCCUGACGGUACCCAAAGAAUAAGCACCGGCUAACUUCGUG